CACACUUAAGCAGAAAAAGUGAAAAGAGUUGGCGACAAGACUAACUUAAUAACAACUGGCGAACAAGGACUCCAGAGGGAGAUGUCUAAUCCUAUCAAUCUGCACAAAAGACCAUCAUUAAAAUCACAGGGAAUGUUGAGAGUAACAG